UGGGGAAUAUUGGACAAUGGGCGCAAGCCUGAUCCAGCCAUGCCGCGUGAGUGAUGAAGGCCCUAGGGUUGUAAAGCUCUUUCACCGGUGAAGAUAAUGACGGUAACCGGAGAAGAAGCCCCGGCUAACUUCGUGCCAGCAGCCGCGGUAAUACGAAGGGGGCUAGCGUUGUUCGGAUUUACUGGGCGUAAAGCGCACGUAGGCGGACUUUUAAGUCAGGGGUGAAAUCCCGGGGCUCAACCCCGGAACUGCCUUUGAUACUGGAAGUCUUGAGUAUGGUAGAGGUGUGUGGAAGUCCGGGUGUAGAGGUGAAAUUCGUAGAUAUUCGGAGGAACACCAGUGGCGAAGGCGGCUCACUGGACCAUUACUGACGCUGAGGUGCGAAAGCGUGGGGAGCAAACAGG
rnacentral:rRNA from 1 species